rnacentral:rRNA from 1 species
UCUUUUUGUUUUUUAUUUAAAGUCAGACCUGCCCAAUGAAUUUUAAAUGGCCGCAGUACUUUAACUGUGCAAAGGUAGCAUAAUAAUUUGUUUUUUAAUUGGAAACUUGUAUGAAUGGUCAUACGAGGGAUUGACUUUCUUUAUCUUAUAUUAAUUAAUUUUAUUUCUCUGUGAAAAAGCAGAGAUGUAUUUAUUAGACGAUAAGACCCUUUAAAACUUUAUUUAUUAUAAAAGCAUGAGUUUUUAGUUGUUUUUUUGUGCUAUUUUUAGUGAAUUUUGUUGGGGCGACAGGUAAAUUUAUUGAACUUUACUUUUUUAUAUCACAAAUUAGUGUUUGUUUGAUCCAGGUUUAUGUUCUGAUUAAAAGCUUAAGUUACUUAAGG